AACGAACGCUGGCGGCAUGCCUAACACAUGCAAGUCGAACGAGAGCUUCGGGUCUAGUGGCGCACGGUUGCGUAACGCGUGGGAACCUGCCCUUAGGUUCGGAAUAACUCCCCGACAGGGGUGCUAUUACCGGAUAAUGUCUUCGGACCAAAGAUUUAUCGCCUUUGGAUGGGCCCGCGUUGGAUUAGCUAGUUGGUAGGGUAAAAGCCUACCAAGGCGACGAUCCAUAGCUGGUCUGAGAGGAUGAUCAGCCACACUGGGACUGAGACACGGCCCAGACUCUUACGGGAGGCAGCAGUGGGGAAUGUUGGACAAUGGGCGAAAGCCUGAUCCAGCAAUGCCGCGUGAGUGAUGAAGGCCGUAGAGUUGAAAAGCUCUUUUACCCGGGAUGAUAAUGACAGUACCGGGAGAAUAAGCCCCGGCUAACUCCGUG
rnacentral:rRNA from 1 species